rnacentral:rRNA from 1 species
UGGGGAAUUUUGCGCAAUGGGGGAAACCCUGACGCAGCAACGCCGCGUGAGUGAUGAAGGCCUUCGGGUCGUAAAGCUCUGUCAGAGGGGAAGAAAUGCAGGGGUGCUAAUAUCAUCUUUGCUUGACGGUACCCUCAAAGGAAGCACCGGCUAACUCCGUGCCAGCAGCCGCGGUAAUACGGAGGGUGCGAGCGUUGUUCGGAAUUAUUGGGCGUAAAGCGCGUGUAGGCGGUUUGGUAAGUCUGAUGUGAAAGCCCCGGGCUCAACCUGGGAAGUGAAGUGGAAACUGUCAGAAUUGAAUACGGGAGAGGGUAGUGGAAUUCCUAGUGUAGGAGUGAAAUCCGUAGAUAGUAGGAGGAACACCGGUGGCGAAGGCGGCUACCUGGACCGAUAUUGACGCUGAGACGCGAAAGCGUGGGGAGCAAACAG